UUUUUUUUUUUUUUUUUACUUGAGCUAAUUAUCCUUUCAAGCAUAGCAGUAAAACUAUUUAAGAAAUCAUUUGAAAUACUGAGUUCAUAAAGUAGUAUCAUAAUAUAUCAAUAAAAUACUUGCACAAGAAUAAAAGCUCUAAAAACACCUAUUCAAGCCUUCUCUUUGGUAAAAUGUUAGCUCUAGAAGAAUCUCUAGUCCUUUCAUGUAAAUAAUAUCUAUCAACAGUUAAACAGGAAACAAAUAUCUUCAAAGCUACUAAGUAAAAUAGUUCAGGCAAGGCAUAACAAAAGCAAAAAAAACUUCCUGAGACAUUUAAUUAAGGCCAAAUCAGUAUUUUAUACAUGUGUAUAGUAACCCAUACUUUGCAACACAGACUUCUGUUUUCAUUUGCUUCUUUUCUGUGCGUAGUAUUUCAUUACUCUUAAUGCAAGAUGCAGAAGAUUAGAUGUAGAUGUAUUUGCAACUAAGGCUGAGUUUUACUUAUUCUCAUUAAAAGUAUUGUCCUAGAGAUAUAAACCACAAUCUUUAUAAGUGAUGCAUUUAAUAUGCAUGUUUCCAUAUUGAAUUUUGUGCAUGUAAUAUAUAGGUCAAAAGUUGUCAAAGAUGAAAUUUGGUCAUGCUGGUGGGAGAAUAAGAAUGCUGCAGGCAGCACAGGGUUAAUAUCAAAACAAAAGCAAAUACUGGAAAAAGAAAUAAAGCAACGCUCUAUGAUAUGCUAUUCUAACCUGAAGCAAGAGAAAUAUAUAUUCAAUUACAGCCACACUGUAGCUGUGAUGUCUGGAGUGUAAUUAAUUAGCUACAUUAUUUAUGUUCUGCAAAAUAAUUUCUCAUUCAUUGUAGUAAGCUGUGCGUUUUUAAAACCACUUGUCUCCAUCAUGGGUCUUUAAUACUACCGAAAUCAUGAAAUUUGUCUUGCUUCCUGAUUUUUCAGACAUAGCCGUAUGUUUCUUUCUGUAAGUUCAACACUGAAUAUUUUGGUAUGUACCCUCUGUAGUGGACUAUACAUGAGUUGAAAGCAUUACGUGCCAGUAAUCUAUUCCUAGAUCCACUUUAAGGUGCCUUCUUAAAUGCCAGACAAUGAAACCAUGAUUUUAGAUAGAAAACUCAAAGAUGCAUCACUUUAGUGGAUGGUAUUGAUGGUUAACAGAUUCCUGUGCAGACUUAUUCAGAGCUGGCAUAAACCAACUCCUUCAAGCGAGGAGAAAGGAAUAUCACCUUGUAAUUGAAGUGACUUCUUGAGUCAGCAUCUGCAAAUAGAGACUUUGAACAGACUUGUCCAGAUAUUUGAAUUAACUUUCAUGUUUUCCUCUAAACUUCUAUGACACUAUUCUUGAAUUAUGGGAGUUAGAACAGAAUAUAAAAUGGCAUUUUAGUUGACAAUUGAUGUCCAUGAUUUAUGGAUAUCUGUAAGUCUAAGUGCUCUCAUUGGACACGAGGUCACAUAUUUCCCUAGCAAUCAGACCAUGAGAGCUUUCAGUUAUUCCCUGCCAAGUAUGUAAAACUUUAUUUUUUGAGUUUUCUUGGUAUAUCUCACAUAAUUACUGUUGUUUUUUUUUCUUUUAACGGAUAAUAAUGUGUUCCCUGCUUUUGGAUGAGAAACUGCUCAUCCUACAAACAACCUGUAAAUGUGAUUUCACACUGCAUGUGAAAGUCAGCUCAUCUAAUAUGCAGUAGUGUGUUACAAAAAAAAAAGUAUUAGGCACAAGGAACAUACACAAUCUGUACAACAUUAAAACAUCACUAAUAAUCCACUUGUGACAGAUAACAUUUUGAACCCCCUUAACCACAUGCAUUGUCUGUCUCAUACUUGGAAGUCUUAAAGAAACUAAACCUUAGUUUUUUUUUUUUUUUACACUCAUGCCUCCAGCAUUCCUAUGAAUUUGUUCUUUGUUACUUUCAUUAUAGUCUCUUGGUCAGAGCUAUCUACUUGCUUCAGAUGACGAGUUAAAAAUAGGCUUCACCUAACAGAAUAGCAGUUAGAAUUCUGCUCAUAAUGAUAUUCCACAUUACAUUGCUUUACAGAAGCACAAUAAGUUAAAGGAAUCAACAUUUCACAUAAUUAUGACCAUGUGUAACUAAAAUUAGCUGUUCCUUUAAACUAACAAAAUCAGAAGAGAAAAAGGCCUAAGUGGGUUUUCACAAGAUGCCAUUUUACAUUCACAUGGAAUUAUAUGGAAUGCAAUACUUUACUUGAAACUUAAAGAAUUGCUGUUGAAGAGGCAGUAUUGUAAUACUUUGAUAAAAUCUUGUUUGACGUGAACCCUGACUUCAUUCACAACUCCUGCAUCCCCCAGUGACUAUUUAACAUUAAGCACAUUUCAAAAUGGAGCCUAAGCAUCCCUUUGAAUGUAAUAACCACAUAUAAUAUAUAUAAAAACAAUUAAAAAAACAGUGGCAACAAUCUGAGGAGAAACAAACUAAUUUACUAAAUACAGUACCGGAAUGUAAGAUAACACUAUAAUACAGUAUAAAUCAACAAUAAUUAAGAGAAAGAUUGUCCGAGAGCCAAAGGCCUUAUGCUAAUACUGAAGCCUUGUGUGCAGUCGGGAGCAGCAGUAGCGAGCAGAUCCAACAGGGAACACGGCGAGACAAGAAGAGAGCCAAGUCAGAUGACCUGCGCCCUUAUAUCUGUUCCCUUGAGCAGGAAUGAUAACAGUACUUGAAAAGGCUCUUGUGGACCGUAGUUUUUCUUCUCUUCCAGACAGGUACCCGGAACUAACUCCCCGUACACUGCAUGAUGUUGUGAUGUGGAAUACUGAUAACCAAAAAUCAUAAAACCAUGACACAAAUACAUUUCCUUUUUGCAUCUCAACACCUACUGCUAUCAGUUAUCAAAUUGAUCCUUGCAUGCAAGUAACAAAUACUACUUAAGAUUCCUACAUGGGGAGAGUGAAUUUCUGGUACUCAUUGCUUAUUUGGAUACCUACCUCUAGGUAACCCAUUCCAUUUUUGGAAAUAAAAAAGAAACAGCAUAUUACAUUUGUCCAAGAAACAGCAAGUUAAAUUUGUCCAAGCUAAAUCUCAGUCAACUGAAGUCUCAGUUACAAAACUGGGAAGAAGGUUACUAAAAAACAGUUAGAAUAAUAAAAUUCACUUCUGCUACCAAUCUAAUUUCCUAGCUAUCACUUAAAAUUUAAGGCAUGCUUUAGCUGUGGAAACAAAAUAAACAAUUCAGUACAGUUUCCUUUUCUUUAUUUCCCAACUAAUAAUCAGAAUCACCUCCAAAAUCAUAGAAGUGGAAACGUUCAAUUAACUCAGAGUUAGAAUGAUGACAAUGCUUCAGAUGUAUAUUUCAGAGAGGAAAAUUGAGGUUCAUGAGGAAUAAGCACAAAGUCAGUGUGAAGUUUUCAUAGAGACCAUAUACAAAAUACUUACACAUGUCUGAAGUUUGGCAUUCAGUUUUUAUUUUCUAAAUAGCUUCCUUCCUGUUUUAGCAUUGUCUUCCCAUCUUCCAGAAGAAAUAUCAAAUAGUUUACAUUUGAUAUUACAGUUGUCCUUUUCUUGGCUAUUUGUUUCUAUUCUCUUACUGAAGCAGAGAUACCCCACUCUCUAAUUUGCAUGCUUGUGUGUUUUCUCAUCUAACUUUUGAAUAUUAUAGCAGUUUUGUGGCUUUAAAUGAGUUCGUUCUUUUCUACCAGCUGCAAUGAUUCAGAGUUUAGUUUCAGGGGUUCUAUCAAUUGAAUUAGAUGAAUCUAAAGUCCAUUUAUUGCCAAGUCUUUUGUAGUUUUCAAUCUUUCUACUACAAGUUGGGAACUAGUAUGUUUUCCAGUCUACAAAUAAACUUGCAAGUUGCAACAACUUAGUAUAUUGUGAUAAUCCAGACAUGCUUUAUUUCUUACUAUCUCUUUGAUAGUAAGAGCAUAAUGCUCCAUCAGAUUUUUUUUCCAACUGCCUAUUUCUUACAUACUCCCGACAGGUGAAGAACUUUUAGCUUUUAUUCUCAUCAUCUUACUUCUCUAAAUCAUCUAGAUCUUCCUAUUGAAUUUCCCUUAAUGUCUCCGGACCCUGUAAAACACUCCACUUGAAAUUAAAUGGAAAGACAACUCUGCUGCUAAAAAAAUUCUUCAGGAAGUCAUUUUUCUUUUAAUGUCUAAAAGAUCACAAAAAAAACCCAUAGUUAAUACAAUUUCUUCAAGUAUUUUAAGUUCCUUAGCUCUCCCUGAAGGAAGACAUCCUUUCAGAGGCUUUCAACUUUUGAUAUUUAGAACAUUAAAGAUCCCCAUAUUCAGGAAGUAACAUUCCAAUGUGGCACAUCAAUUUACAUUAGUAUAUAACCAAUAUUAGCAACAGAAGGCUAAUAAUGCCCCCAGAAAACCUCCAAACCAGCCCACUGCAAUCUCUCUUCUAGAGCUCAAUAAAGAUAGGGCAUGCUUUCUAGAGUAAUACACUCAUUCAUCUCUGUCACUAGAUUAAGAUUAACUUUCCUAAAAGUUCACUUUCUCAGUGUGUUUCUGGAUGAUUUUUCCCCCAUUAAUUCCUCUGCUUCUGUCUUUGACUUCAAAUAUUCCCAAAGUCUUUUCAUCUUUUGUUCACCUCCCCUUCUGCCAUUUGUUUAUUUGUGUUUGUGUCCCUGUCCUGCUCCCUCCCACUCCUUCAGCCCCACCAUCUUGUCCUUGGACAAGACAACACAAAAUUGAACCUCUAUCUAAGCACAAAUGGCCUUCGACAAAGUAUUCCCUUGAGUAUCUCCUAUUCAAGAAGCACAGGAAAAUCAGUACUGAAAGAAAAAAAACAGUCUCAUGCAUAAGAUAAAUAAGAGAAAUUAAACUGUCACUCAGUAUCUACUUCGAGUAGAGAUUCAUACACUUCAAAAUUUAUGGGGGGGAGCACAACACAAAAAACAUCUUAAAACAUGCUUACAGUUGUACCAGAGUUAAAAUAACAGAUAGGCUGGAACUUAAUUCCAUAACCAUGUAGUUAAAGAAUUUGAAUGGUUCUAAAGUUUUAAUUUGUCAGCCCACUGCCUCCAAUUUGUAAGUGUCAUGGUUUUGUCUAAAAUCAAGUUCAUGUUGGUUUAUACCUUCAAGUAUCCUCUGGAUAAUCAGAGCUCCUUUUGUUCUCUACUUAUGCAGAGGCACUGAGAAGCACUAACAACUCCCACCUUGUACAUGUCUGAAGCACACAAGAUGGAGCCACUUUUUAAAAAACCAAACAAAAAAUGACUUGCAACACAGAAGUACCACAGCUUGGAAACAGCAUACCAAAUAAAUAUGUAACACAGAUUCAGCGUGUUAAGAGCCAAAUGCCAGCCUAAUGUUACAAAAAGUAUCAGCAUAGAAUCAGUACUGCUCAUCAGGUAAAAGUAUUGCACACUUGAGAUUAAAUACAGUAAAUAAUGCUAAAAUGGAUACCACGUGGAUACAUUUUUCAAAUAUUAAUGUUAGAAGUAAAAAAAACAGUACAACUCCCUCAGCAGAUGCUCCUUAGCUGCAAAAAAAAAAAAAAAUUGUGAAUAACACAUAAAAGAAGAUGCGAGUCUUUUGAUAAUUCAAUUGCAAAAACCUUUUCAAGGAUAACUUUCCUUAUUCACGCUUAGGCACUUGAUUCCUCACUUUUAGUUAUGCUAGCUGAGCCAUUUGUGAGGCCUCUUGAUAGUUUGUAAAUAAGCUUAUGUGCUGAAGAAAAAGCUAGAAAUACAGAGUUCAUUUUGGCUUUUUCACUUAGCUAUUUUGAGGGUAGGAUUUUAUGAAUAAUCAGUUAGGACAAGUGGAACAGGCUGCAAGUGAGAGAGAGACUGAAGAAAAAGCAUGAAAGACUAAGAUUGCAGGAGCUCUUAAAUCAACCAGUGGUUGAAAAAUUUCUUGAGUGGGAUCACAUUUUACUGUGGGAUAACUAUUUCCUUCCUUCACAAAGAAAACUACUGUUUUUGGCAAUAACCUUGAACUCAUAUCACCCUUUGUGACACAGCCCAAGGAAUGCUAGCCUAUCUUCUCUGACCAAAAUGCAACUGAACUAUUUCUUGUUAUAAGUUUCAAUGUUAAAGACAAGGAGGCAUUUCUGUUCUAAUGUUUGGGACUUAAAGCCUUAGACAUAGAGCUUUAGAAUCAUCAAGUAGGCAGUUCCUGCAUGCUAACUUCUCCCUUCAUUGACAUCUUUUAAGAUUUGUUUACUUACAGCCUCCUUAAAAUUGCUGUGUCUCACUGCUCACCUCAAACAUGUUAUGUUUAUAUUAGAGAAUUAAUGCCAUGAUUACAUACAAUAAAUUCUUACUACUGAAACAAGUUAAAACAUUCUUUAUAAACCUAAAUGCAUAAAAUCCAGUAAGUGCACACCAUUACUUCAAAAGAAAACUUUAUAAAGGAAAACAUAAGUCUGGGGACUAAGUCUUGUAUUCCUUUCUCAGACCAAACUAACAUCAGUUAACUUUGAGUACAAAGACAUUUGAGUCUACCAGGAAACUGAAAUUAUGUUUCAUAAAGAAAAACCGUAAGCAUUUCAGGUACAUCAUCUUAUAGUUCUAUAGAACUAGAACAUGAUUUAAUUCAAGAGAGUCAUUCAACAAACGUUAACUCAUGGAGGUACUUAAUUACUUAGAGUUUAGAAACAAAACUUUUCAAAAUAAGAGGUCUACUCUGAAAGUAAUGCCUGUCUUAUUACAUUGGCCCAAGAUGUCAGAGGAAAACAUUGGUGGUAUAGAAGUAGACAUUAAACCACCCCACCAAUAUUCCAUUAAAUUUUGUUGCCACAUGACAGAUAGCAGCAGAGGGGCAGUCUGACAGAAUUGACUCAGUAUAUAUGAAACAAAUGUGUGUCACUGAACUCUUCUAUGUGGAAAAAAAGGCAUCCAUUAACAUUCAUUGAUGUUUGCUGGAUAUUUAUGGAGACUAAACUGUCAAUGUCAUUACAGUGAGGUGGUGAGCAGUAUGUUUGAGCACUGGUGACCUUACAUAUAUGAAGAUCUGGGAAAAAAAUAAACAAAACCUUGAUUAGCUAGAACAGAAAGCAAAUCAACAUCCUUUCUUUUCAGUUGCUUGUUGCUGUGUUUGAUUGCAUUGCUGGAGCCUGAAAAUGUAUUUCUACUGUGUACUAGCGGAUAGCAUAAAGAAAGCCCUCUUGCCUUUAUUCACAGCUGGUGAGGAAAAAAAUGAAAGCAUAUGACUGAAACCAUGCUGCCAGCAACAAAUGCUGUCUAUUAACUCCAUGUAGCCUUAAGCUAAGGGUGUAUAAAAGUAACUUCUUAUUAAAAUGUAUAUGAAAAAAUUGGAGAGGACAGUAGAGAGACUUUGGAAAGGAGAGCUGGUAGGAAGAGAAAGAAAAUGUUAAGUGUAGUAGUAGAUACCUAAAGAAGGGAAAUGACAGUGAAAGCAACUGUAUUUUCAACCUGUGGGGCUUAAUUUCCUUAUAGGUUAUGCAUAGACUUUUUAUUGAGAGAACUUACUAGAGGCUCAGCAGCAAAAUUGAGUUUGUGUGAUAGAGAGAAACUUUAACCCAUAUAAUUAUAAAAACUGUGAGAGAAGAAUAUUAAACUAUCACAGUUCAAUAACAUGCCUGCUCUUGAUAGUUUUCCUUGUACUAGCCUUACUUUUGAUGCCAUAUCCAAACAAUUCUUUGGUAUUGAUAUUCUAAGUUUCUGAAUUGGAUACUGAAGAGAUAGAUAAAACCACUUAGCCUUUACCUGUCUAUUUCCUGCUCCCUAAAGUUCCUGCCCUGCCAACUACAUUUUAGGCUACUCCUGAGUUUUUCCACACUGACUUUACAAAAUAAAAGCACAUCAGAGAGUGGAAAUACUGUAGGUUGGUAUGAUUUUCACAAGAAAAUAUAUUAGUAAAGGUGAAAAGAUAUUAGUAUGAGUGAAGCUAAACCUUAUUUAUAGCACUGCAUACUUUUCCACAAGACCUUUCCUCAGCAUAUAUCACAUACCAUUGCCCACCUCUUUCUCUUGGAACUUAUGCUACCCAGUGCCAAGAAACAUGGAAUUCUAAGAAGUUUAUGCAUUUUAAAAAUGUAUUCAUAGAAGCACAACUCUUUUUGCUUUCACAUUACAGUUUCAAUGUUUUGGAGACAUCUUCAGUGUCAAUGCAAUUGGGAGCAUUCUUUUGCAAUUAUAUUAAAAUACAAUGUUUGAUUAAUAUCUCCUUAUUGAAAUCAACACCAGCUGGAUUUUAUUUCCCAGUCAUAAUGACUAAAGACUGUAUAUGUUCAGCAUAUGAACAGCAGAACAUAGAGGUUCUGUUGCCUGUUUAUUUUUCUCAUAUGGCAAGAAAAAAGCAUUAUAGAAACAAUAAUAGGGGGAAAAGGAACGUAAGUAGGAGUGGCUUUAAUGAUUCAGGUUUGAAGAAAGUUGAUAUCAAU
rnacentral:lncRNA from 1 species